rnacentral:rRNA from 1 species
GCCGGAGGAGGCAAUCGUUAUCCGGAAUUAUUGGGCGUAAAGCGUCCGCAGGUGGCGAUUCAAGUCUGCUGUCAAAGGUCGGGGCUUAACCCCGGGAAGGCAGUGGAAACUGAAUAGCUAGAGUGCGGUAGGGGCAGAGGGAAUUCCCGGUGUAGCGGUGAAAUGCGUAGAGAUCGGGAAGAACACCAGUGGCGAAAGCGCUCUGCUGGGCCUGCACUGACACUGAGGGACGAAAGCUAGGGGAGAGAAAGGG